UACGAGUUUGAUCAUGGCUCAGGAUGAACGCUAGCGGCAGGCUUAAUACAUGCAAGUCAAGGGGGUAGCAAUACAACCGGCGCACGGGUGAGUAACGCGUACACAACAUACCAUAUACUGGAGUAUAGCUUUGGGAAACUGAAGGUAAUCCUCCAUAACAUUGCGAGAGGGCAUCUGAUUGCAUAAAGUUUCGGCGGUAUAUGAUUGGUGUGCGUUUGAUUAGCUAGUUGGUAGGGUAACGGCCUACCAAGGCGACGAUCAAUAGCUGGCGUGAGAGCGCGACCAGCCACACUGGAACUGAGACACGGUCCAGACUCCUACGGGAGGCAGCAGUAGGGAAUAUUGGACAAUGGAGGAAACUCUGAUCCAGCCAUGCCGCGUGAUAGAUGAAGGCCCUCUGGGUUGUAAAUAUCUUUUAUCUGGGAAGAAACACUCCUAUUCUUAGGAACUUGACGGUACCAGAGGAAUAAGCACCGGCUAACUCCGUG
rnacentral:rRNA from 1 species